rnacentral:tRNA from 2 species
GCGCCCGUAGCUCAAUUGGAUAGAGUCACGGACUUCGAAUCCGAAGGUUACAGGUUCGAGUCCUGUCGGGCGCA